rnacentral:rRNA from 1 species
UACGAAGGGGGCUAGCGUUGCUCGGAAUUACUGGGCGUAAAGCGUGCGCAGGCGGUUAUGUAAGACAGAUGUGAAAUCCCCGGGCUCAACCUGGGAACUGCAUUUGUGACUGCAUAGCUAGAGUACGGUAGAGGGGGAUGGAAUUCCGCGUGUAGCAGUGAAAUGCGUAGAUAUGCGGAGGAGCACCGAUGGCGAAGGCAAUCCCCUGGACCUGUACUGACGCUCAUGCACGAAAGCGUGGGGAGCAAACAGG